rnacentral:rRNA from 1 species
CUUGACCUAUAUAAGAGGUCCAGCCUGCCCAGUGACAUGGUUCAACGGCCGCGGUAUCCUAACCGUGCGAAGGUAGCGUAAUCACUUGUUCUUUAAAUGAGGACUAGUAUGAAGGGCAUCACGAGAGUCACACUGUCUCCUCUUUCUAAUCAGUAAAACUAAUCUCCCCGUGAAGAAGCGGGGAUAAAAAUAUAAGACGAGAAGACCCUAUGGAGCUUUAAACAAACAACACUUGCCUCCCUUAUCUAAAUUUCAGAAAAACCCUUCACUCUGGCAUCAUGAUUGCUAGUUUUCGGUUGGGGUGACCACGGAACAAAAAAUAACCUCCGAAAUGAAAAUACUCCUCCACUAAAUCAAGGACCACAAUCCUACAUAUCAACAAAUUGACAUCAAUUGACCCAACAUGUUGAUCAAUGAAU